GGGGAGAAAAAGGGAGCUUUCGCCCGCCUCCCGGUUUGUUUUCGUGAAUGGUGGUUGCAUGCGCUUUGUACUUGCGUUGCGUUUGUAUCUUUCCCAGUCAGAGCGGCUGUAUUUGAACAUUUCUCGCAAGAACUACAGUCCUGUUGGUGUUGCAUCUCGUCAAUUAAAGUGUCGUGCUACGAUGGCUACACUGCGAACUACUAGAGGAAAGAACUUUGGCAGUGCGCAUGUGGCAACCUUUUCAGCUAGCGUCGCUGGAAAUGCCAAGGGCAUAUGCUGGUGUAGGUGCUGCUGCUGUAAGUCAAGCCAAAGGCAGGAACGGUGCUUUGGCCACUGAAUGAUGGUGGGAACAUCUUGAAGUGGAUUACGGUGGCGGAAUGGGCUUGUUGACCAAUCAUCAUUGGAAUGAUACCAUUCCACCAAUCUUGGAAGUGCACGCAUUGUGAUGCGGCGUGUGGUCGUGUGGUCCUGUUAGUGGUGAACGAGCAACUGCGGUAUCCCCUUACUGGCCUGCUGU